rnacentral:rRNA from 1 species
AUUGAACGCUGGCGGCAUGCUUUACACAUGCAAGUCGAACGGUAACAGGUUUAGCUGACGAGUGGCGAACGGGUGAGUAAUGCAUCGGAACGUGCCCGAUCGUGGGGGAUAACGCAGCGAAAGCUGCGCUAAUACCGCAUACGAUCUGAGGAUGAAAGCGGGGGACCGUAAGGCCUCGCGCGAUCGGAGCGGCCGAUGUCAGAUUAGGUAGUUGGUGGGGUAAAGGCUCACCAAGCCGACGAUCUGUAGCUGGUCUGAGAGGACGACCAGCCGCACUGGGACUGAGACACGGCCCAGACUCCUACGGGAGGCAGCAGUGGGGAAUUUUGGACAAUGGGCGAAAGCCUGAUCCAGCAAUGCCGCGUGCAGGAAGAAGGCCUUCGGGUUGUAAACUGCUUUUGUACGGAGCGAAAAGGCUCUCUCUAAUACAGGGGGCUCAUGACGGUACCGUAAGAAUAAGCACCGGCUAACUACGUGCCAGCCGCCGCCGUAACAC